UCGGAUAUGGUGUAACGGCUAACAUUUGCGCCUCUCAUACUUGCUUGGGCUAAUAAGUGACGCGCAAGCUCGGGGUUCGAUUCCCUGUAUCCGAA